rnacentral:rRNA from 1 species
AUACGUAGGGAGCAAGCGUUAUCCGGAUUUAUUGGGUGUAAAGGGUGCGUAGACGGAGUAGCAAGUUGGUUGUGAAAUCCCUCGGCUUAACUGAGGAACUGCAACCAAAACUACUACCCUUGAGUGUUGGAGAGGAAAGCGGAAUUCCUAGUGUAGCGGUGAAAUGCGUAGAUAUUAGGAGGAACACCAGUGGCGAAGGCGCUUUUCUGAACUGUACCUGACACUGAGGCAUGAAGGCGUGGGUAGAAAACAGGAUUAAUUCCCCGGGUAGUCCACGCCGUAAACGAUGGGUACAAGGUGUAGGAGUUAUCGACCCCUUCUGUGCCGUCGUUAACACAAUAAGUACCCCGCCUGGGGAGUACGGUCGCAAGACUAAAACUCAAAUGAAUUGACGGGG